ACGAAGGGGGCUAGCGUUGCUCGGAAUGACUGGGCGUAAAGGGCGCGUAGGCGGUUUGGUUAGUUGGGCGUGAAAUUCCUGGGCUCAACCUGGGGACUGCGCUUAAUACAGCCAGACUAGAGUGUGGAAGAGGGUCGUGGAAUUCCCAGUGUAGAGGUGAAAUUCGUAGAUAUUGGGAAGAACACCGGUGGCGAAGGCGGCGACCUGGUCCAUUACUGACGCUGAGGCGCGAAAGCGUGGGGAGCAAACAGG
rnacentral:rRNA from 1 species